rnacentral:rRNA from 1 species
GCCUCCCUCCGCCGCCACUCACGACUACCGUACCGGGACGGCGAGCAGUGGGAAGUCGUUGUCACAAGUAGGGGACGAACCCGUACGACUGCAGCGACGCCGCGGUCGGAGCGAUGAAGCCCGUUCGGGUCGGUAAGGCGUCUUUCGGUCAGGGACGAGUAAUAGACGGUACCUGCAGAAGCAGCUGCGGCUAACUACGUGCCAGCAGCCGCGGUAAUC